GGGGACGAUAGGUUUCGAUCGAAGAUCUUUUUAAAAUAAGCAAGCCGAGGACUUCAGCAUCUCGUUAAAAUCUGAAAAAAACAAACGCAAAAACAAAUUUUGCUUUCGCUACAGCUUAAUUUAUUAAGUCGCAGCCACUUUAAUUGAGAUUCUCAAUAGGCGAUUGAAGUGUUAUAGUGCCGAAAGGCAUUUGAGAUAGGUGUCUUGAUUCCCAAUGCAAAACACUGAAAUGAAAUUGGGUCAGGUUAUUCUGAUUUUUGUCUGCUUUUUAUCUAAAUAACCGAGAAAAUAAACAGACCAAGCUUGUCGAAUUAUUUUAAAGAGCCUUCGAGACGGGAGUUCAAUUCUCCCCGUCUCCAUCC
rnacentral:tmRNA from 1 species